AUUUUAUUAGUUUUCCAUCUAUUUUGUUUUCGUUCCUCUUUUCCUGCCUCUCCCCCUUAAUAUCAUUGCCAUUUCUCACAACUCCUAGAUUUACAACUCCAGCCGGGAUCUCUCUGCUAAACUCCAGACUCCCACAUUCCACUUUCCAGCAGCUGUGUUUGGAUACUGAAACUCACUGCAAACCUAACAUGCCAAACGGGAGCGCCUGACUACGAUUCCCCAACGGUCCAGGUCUCAGUCGACGGCAACUCCAUCCUUCCAGUUUUCUGGCCAAACUCUGGAGUCGUAUUUGACCCCUUCCCAGCCCACAGUCGACACAUGCACAGCCGGCGCAUUAUCCCGACUACAGCGUCCGCCGCAGCUGCACACGGCAGUGAGCAGCGCCGCUCCCACAGCGCGCUCGGCUCGCAGCCAGCCGGGCGCUUCACACCCAGGCCCCGAGUCAAGUCACGUCCCUCUCUGAAAAACCCACCAUCGUCCCCAGCUUUUCUCAGAAUAAAAGCCAAAGCGAUUUCGAUGACCUCUAAGACCACUUCGGUACUUUUCUGUUCUCUCCUCCUACGCCUCCCGUGCUCGCUCCAUUCAAGCCUCCUCAGGCUCCUUCCUGCUCCUCCAAGUCAGUGUUUUCCAGCCUUUCCUUGUCACCCCGCCAGGGGCAAGACAUUUUAACACCACAGUUAUACCAUGUAGGUUUCUCUCCUGCAUCCUUAACAUAUCUGUGUCAUACGCAUUUUAAAAACGGGUUUUUUCACCCUCCAAGCAUAAUCUUCCCCCCCUUGGGACGACGUCUCCCUGCGGGCGCGGUGCCGGCUGUGCGGGAGCCCCUCGCGCUCGCCCGCGCUCUGUGCGCAGUGCGCCCCCCGCACGCGCCGCCCUCCCGCCUCCCGCCCUCGCCCAGACGGCCACCGGCUCAGCGAGGCGGCCUCUGGUCACUCCAACUCACUCAGGACCGUUAUCCUCUUCCCAGCUGCGUUCUUCCCCACAGCACCUGUCACCCUCUGGAACCUCCACGCGUCACUCAGCACUUCUUUGCUGAGUGUCUCCGUCCAUGGGAAUGCCAGAUCCAGGCGAUCUUUACGGUCACUUCCGUAUCCGGCACCCAGCCCCCGCACGUGGCUCGUGCGCCAUCUGUGUUUGCCGAGUGCGCGCCCGCACGUGCUCGCGCCUUCCUGCCUUCACCUGCAUGGCUCCAUUUGCCGGAGUGUCCUUGCUUCUCCUUUCUGAUCUAUCAAGUCCUGUUCUUGCUUGGCCCAAGUCAAGUACCAGCUUCUUGCUGGCCCCUUUCCUGGUUUUAUGUCCUCAAGAAUAUUGUAAAGUUCUUAUGCACCACAUUCUUGGUGGGCGUCAUGGAAUCAGAAUUAGUUAUUGAAGACUAAAGUUCUUUUUUCCUUGGCCUGAUCUGCCUUAAAACUCUUCAGGAACCUCCCUAGGCACUCACUAGUUGCUGAGUUAUUCCUGAAACUGUGUAUGUUCACAUACUGUUGGAGAACUGAGGGGCUUCUUAUUUGGAUGAGUGGGCACCAAGAAAGGACAAAAAGCCAUUUGGCACUUAGGCAGAUUAACACUGUUCAGAUUGGUGUGGAAUAGAGAGAACGAGAAAGCGUUUGAGGACUUAAAGUCAUCACUGAAGACUGGGGAAGGAGUAUUACAAAGAAAGGGGACUGAAAAGAGCAGCACGAGCACGUUGCAGAUUACAUGCUCAAGUUAGGAGAAUACUGGGAAUUGCACCCUUGCCUCUAGUUCAGAUGUUCAGUGGAUAUGAUUAAGGUAGAAGGAUCCAAAUUGUCACAAGUCUAUGCAGCCUGUCCCAGACUACACAGACUGUGUACUGUGGCACCCAUCUGCUGCCGGCUCUGAGGAUUCCAGUCGUGUUCAGCACAACAAAAGGGAAGAAUCAGAAAUGCUAAGAGACCGAGAAUAAACUCAUUGAUAUUUUUUAGGUAUUUUAAAACUAAUAUUAAUAUUUAUAGAACUUUGUUCAGAAAUUGUGCUCACACAUUCCUUGCUUAAAGUUGCUGAAAUCAUAUGCGCAUACAUACACACACAUGUGUACAUAUGUGCACGUGCACACACUCCUGUGUACACACGAGCUACACAAAAAUGGCUUAUAUCAAAUCAAUCAGAUAUACCUUAAUCAUUCGGCUGUGGGUCACCGAAUGAUUGCGUGUGACUGUGCAUGAGGAAAGA